AACGAACGCUGGCGGUAUGCUUAACACAUGCAAGUCGAACGAUGAGAAAGAGCUUGCUCUUUCGAUUAGUGGCGGACGGGUGCGUAACGCGUAGGAAUCUACCUAUUAGUGGGGGACAACUUAGGGAAACUUAAGCUAAUACCGCAUACGCCCUACGGGGGAAAGAAGGGGAUCGCAAGACCUUUUGCUAAUAGAUGAGCCUGCGUAGGAUUAGCUAGUUGGUGGGGUAAAAGCUCACCAAGGCGACGAUCCUUAACUGGUUUGAGAGAAUGGUCAGUCACAGUGGAACUGAGACACGGUCCAGACUCCUACGGGAGGCAGCAGUGGGGAAUAUUGGACAAUGGGCGAAAGCCUGAUCCAGCAAUACCGCGUGUGUGAAGAAGGCCUUAGGGUUGUAAAGCACUUUCAAUUGGAAGGAAAACCUCGAAGCUAAUACCUUCGAGUUUGACAUUACCUUUAGAAGAAGCACCGGCUAACUCCGUGCCAGCCGCCGCCGUAA
rnacentral:rRNA from 1 species